rnacentral:rRNA from 1 species
CCUGAACGCUGGCGGCGUGGCUAAGACAUGCAAGUCGUACGGACCCGCAAGGGUCAGUGGCGAACGGGUGAGUAAUGAAUCGCUAAUGUGCCCCGGACUCAGGGAUAGCUAUCCGAAAGGGUAAGGUAAUACCUGAUGACAUAACCUUGUCGCAUGGCAGGGUUCUCAAAGGUCCGCCGGUCUGGGAGCAGGCGAUUUCGUAUCAGCUAGUUGGUGAGGUAACGGCUCACCAAGGCGACGACGCGUAGCCGGACUGAGAGGUUGGCCGGCCACAUUGGGACUGAGACACUGCCCAGACUCCUACGGGGG